rnacentral:lncRNA from 1 species
UCACACCAAUCAUCGCCAUGCUCACACGGGGAUUAUUACAUGGGAACGAGGAAGGCUAGCUUUAGAGCGAGAGGCCACCGGACUCCUCGUCCUCGUCGAGGCCAGAGGUGUAGACAGUGUAGAGGGACCAGAUGAGGCCGAAGACACCCAGGAGGAUCCACCCCAGCAGGUUGUUGCUCAGGCCGAGGCUCAGCCCGGUGCCCUCCGUGGACAUCCGGUCGUCCACGAGCGCCAGCGCCGGCGCCGCGGACGCGGUCACCGCGCCCGC